AAUGGAAAGGUAUGCCUCACAUUUUAGAAGUUUUUUAUUAUAAACUUUUCUUGCUGGUUUACACCACAUGUUGUCACUGCUGGAUGACAAUUCUCUUAUUUGGAUUCUAUGCAUUUUCCAUUUUUGUGAAUUCUUUUGUAAGUAUUUGGUCCCUUAGUUUUGUUUCAUUAUUGACUUGUAAAGUUCAUCUUUUAUUGUGUUUGUAUUUAGCUAUGUGUACUCCAAAAUUUCUCUUGUUUUGUGGAAGUUCUGACAGGCCUGAAUCAGGCUCUGUAGACCUAGACUGGCCUUGAAUUGUUUACCGUCUGCAUCCUGAGUGGCUGGUACAAGAGGUGUACUCCACCAUGCCUGGCUAAGGUUUUAAUUCUACCGAUGCUUAAUAUGUUCAGGCCAGAGUCACUCCUAAACCGUUUGUGUCGUUAAUGGGUAUUUCUGCUUAAUUUGUAUAGGUUCGGUUUUCCAGUUUGGCAGCAGCACUACAAAUUUCAACUUCACAAACAAUAAUCCAUCAGGAGUGUUCACAUUUGGUGCAAGUCCCAGCACGCCUGCAGCCGCAGCCCAGCCCUCAGGUUCGGGGGGCUUUUCAUUCAGCCAGUCUCCAGCAUCAUUUACAGUGGGGUCAAAUGGGAAAAAUAUGUUCUCUUCUUCCGGAACUUCAGUUUCUGGUCGCAAGAUAAAGACUGCUGUUAGACGCAAGAAAUAAAGGUCAAAAAGGUGUUAUACCCAA
rnacentral:lncRNA from 1 species